GCCCAGGUGGCUCAGUUGGAAGAGCAUGUGACUCUUGAUCUCAGGGUCGUGAGUUCAACCCCACAUGGGGUU
rnacentral:tRNA from 1 species